GGGAUUGUAGCUCAAUGGUAGAGCACUUGCCUUGCAUGUAUGAGGCACUGGGUUUGAUCCCCAGCACCA
rnacentral:tRNA from 1 species